GGCAUGCCUUACACAUGCAAGUCGAACGGCAGCACGGGUGCUUGCACCUGGUGGCGAGUGGCGAACGGGUGAGUAAUAUAUAGGUAAUAUGCCUCUUACUAAGGGAUAACAGAUGGAAACGUCUGCUAAUACCUUAUAUGCCUUUAGGACUAAAGUCCGCAAGGGAAAGAUUUAUCGGUAAGAGAUUAGCCUGUACAGUAUCAGUUAGUUGGUGAGGUAAAGGCCUACCAAGGCGACGAUCCGUAGCGGGUCUGAGAGGAUGAUCCGCCACACUGGGACUGAGACACGGCCCAGACUCCUACGGGAGGCAGCAGUGGGGAAUAUUGGACAAUGGGCGCAAGCCUGAUCCAGCCAUGCCGCGUGUGUGAAGAAGGCCUUCGGGUUGUAAAGCACUUUCAGCGAGGAGGAAGGGAUGUAUGUUAAUAGCAUGCAUUUUUGACGUUACUCGCAGAAGAAGCACCGGCUAACUCUGUG
rnacentral:rRNA from 1 species